GAGGGGAUAGCUCAGUGGUAGAGUGCAUGCCUGGCAUGCAUGAGGUCCUGGGUUCAAUCCCCGGUACCUCCA
rnacentral:tRNA from 1 species